GGCUUCGUAGCUCAGCUGCUAGAGCGCUUGCCUCGUUGAGGCACGCCAUGUCUGUCACUGGUUCGAAUCCAGCCGAAGCCC
rnacentral:tRNA from 1 species